GAGAUAAAAUAUUGUCAUAAAUAAGCACUAUGACAUAAAGCUCUCCAAAGCAUAGCAAAGAAUAAUGGCCUGUGUUGGUCCUUCAGGGGACAUGCAGAAUGGAAGAGAUAAACGCUUGCUGACCAUCAGGAAAUGGACAUAAUGGUCAAAGAAAGCUCAAGGCCAGCCCUGAUGUAAAGAAUGCAGCAGUAGACUCCACCUCUUGAGAGGGUAAGCUAAAAUGCAGUGUGUUCUUUUCUGAAAUCUACCCCAGCCGGUGAUGGGAAGUGCACUGUGAAGAUAGCUAGUGGAAUGAGAAGGAAGCCAGGAAACCAAGAGUUUGUAGAAGGGGCACAGAUAGAAAGAGAAGUAAAGUAAUGGAGUAAUGGGAGGUCAUAUAGACUGGCAAGAUUUGGUUAAGGUGAUACUGUAGCUUUCUCUGAAAUCCAACAUUUGUAGACUAAGUAAUAAUGAUUAAUAUUCUUGCCAAGUUUUCUAAAGGUUUCUUUAAAUUAUAUAUCAUUAAAUCUUAUCUCCCUAAACUAUCUCUAGAAUCCUUCUAUACCAGGUGUACCCCAUGUACCUAUGUUCAGACAGAGCUGCUCUCACCCUUGAUAGUGGCAACUUCAGAGUCAGGGGUAAAACUGACAUUCAUAUGUCCAAUAGAUACACAUAUCUUAGUUACAGACCUGGCAUCUUACCAAAUCUUUAUAUAUAGCUUUUGUUAAUAUAUGGCACCAUGUUCCAGGUGUUUUUAAUUUAAAGUUAAUAAAAUUCUAGAGCUAAAACUGCAGAUAUUUUCAACAAAUCCUGGGAAAUGGAGAAAAAUGGAGUAGAUGGUUAUAAAUAAGCUUAAGAUCUUAUGUAAUUUUCAGAGAGAG
rnacentral:lncRNA from 1 species